GCGACCCCAGGAUGGGCGGGGCCACCCGCCGAGU
rnacentral:rRNA from 1 species